rnacentral:rRNA from 1 species
GACGAACGCUGGCGGCGUGCCUAAUACAUGCAAGUAGAACGCUGAAGGAGGAGCUUGCUUCUCUGGAUGAGUUGCGAACGGGUGAGUAACGCGUAGGUAACCUGCCUGGUAGCGGGGGAUAACUAUUGGAAACGAUAGCUAAUACCGCAUAAUAGCAGUUGUUGUAUGACAACUGUUUGAAAGGUGCAAUUGCACCACUACCAGAUGGACCUGCGUUGUAUUAGCUAGUUGGUGGGGUAACGGCUCACCAAGGCGACGAUACAUAGCCGACCUGAGAGGGUGAUCGGCCACACUGGGACUGAGACACGGCCCAGACUCCUACGGGAGGCAGCAGUAGGGAAUCUUCGGCAAUGGACGGAAGUCUGACCGAGCAACGCCGCGUGAGUGAAGAAGGUUUUCGGAUCGUAAAGCUCUGUUGUAAGAGAAGAACGAGUGUGAGAGUGGAAAGUUCACACUGUGACGGUAUCUUACCAGAAAGGGACGGCUAACUACGUG